AUUCAAUAUGAAAUAGCUAGUCUAUUCUCAUCCUAUUCCAUGCCAUUCCGUGAGUCGCAUAAUACCUUAUUUUUUCAUACAAUCACUGCCACGGCCACCAGAUAAAAUGUAAAUCAUGUACAAGAUUCUUUUUCUUUUUGAACAGACAGAAGAUUCUAAGUGUUCAAUCCUUUCAACAGAAUCAAUAUUGUACUUACACAUAAUAAACAUCGGAAAAAAUUAGCCAAAAAAAUUACAAUCGGGGAAAAGAACAAAAAGUAAAUGGAUAAAGAAAAAUACUGGACCCCUGUUAUACAUUCCUAUAUUUCCUGGGAUGGUUUUCUUACCCCAAAGUGUUGUUAUUGACAGACCAUAUAUUAUAUACCAAAACGUUAUAAACCUAGAGCAAUAUAUUUGUUUACCAUUGUAUCACUACUAACACCAUUCCCUUCCAAUAUCUUCUUGUAAAUACUCCGGCGAAUCAUUGGCAGCAUCAAUACUGCUUUACAAGAUGCUCCGAAUGCACAGAUCACAGCAAAAAAAAUUCCAAGAUCAAACCUGAACUUUUCAAAAUCAGCUCAUCCAGGACAGCUAUAAGCAGAGCUCCACAACAGCCACUUCCAGCACUGCAAACGGUAAAAAAGGCAUAUCACUGAAAUAAUGUUUCAACCAUCGUUUUAUAUUAUGGAUGUUAUACUGCAAGACUUGGCCUUCCUAGUUACUUUUUGACCACCAAGGGAGGAAGUUGAUUUCCUCAGCUGCAGUUUCCCAAUUCUGUGUGGGAAAUUUGUGUUAAAUCUGGCUAACACAAUGAAGAAAGCCUAUUCCCUUGGUGACCAUCUCUUCAAAUACUAUUUACAAUAAUGGUAUAGUGAUUGCAAGCACAGAGCCAUAGACGCAAACUUCAAUGGAAUAGGGAAAAAGAAGAAACAAAAAGAGUGCAAAGAUAACCUUUGCAAAGAAGUUUACCUCCAUUUGUUGUAGGCGCACUCUGUGGCAUGGUUGGGAUCAUACUUCAAGGUCAAAGUUGAGUAUUGGGCAAGAAUAAUCUGGUAAGCACAAAACAUCAGACUACAUGUGGCAGAGCAUGUGAACGAUGCUUUGCCCUUAUGAUGGUUUCAUCACUGUGCCUGAUCAAUUCUGACAGUCUCCAUGGCUUCUGCCACUUCCAUUUGAAUUGCAAAAGCCACUGGUGAUGACUUCUUUUCCACCUCCAUAGCUUCCCACCUUGUCCCACAAUUGCUAAUUUUCUCAUUGACAACAGCCCAAGUGGUACCAUCUUUCUAGUCUGAUCCAUAAAUGCUGCUGACUCUCCGACUGGACCAUUAGCAAUACCAGGUGUAUAUUUUAGCUGUUUCUGUGCUGGUACAGACAUUGGAGACAAGGGACCGCUCAGAUCAUCAGCAAGAUGUUUCAGUGAAUCGUGGGAGUUCCCCUGUUCAUUGCAAGCCGUAGCUGAUGUAGCCAAAGCAAUUGAAAUAGCUUGCUCUCUCAAUUUUAACUCCUCCUCCACUUCCUUUCUUUGCACCUCACUUUGUCUCAAGAGACCUACAAGUUCUUUAAAUUGUUCCUUCAUUUCCUUGAUUUCCAUUUCCUUUUCCCAUACCUGACUGAUUUCCAUUUCCUUUUCCCAUACCUGAC
rnacentral:misc_RNA from 1 species